GGAGACGUGGGUGAGUGGCUGAAACCAACGGUUUGCUAAACCGUCGUACUGUGAAUACGGUACCGAGGGUUCGAAUCCCUCCGUCUCCG
rfam:Sphingobium sp. MI1205 chromosome 1, complete sequence.